rnacentral:rRNA from 1 species
UACGAAGGUGGCAAGCGUUACUCGGAAUUACUAGGCGUAAAGCGCAGGUAGGCGGUUCGAUAAGUCUUUUGUGAAAGCUCCCGGCUUAACUGGGAGAGGCCAAGAGAAACUGUCGAGCUAGAGUGUGGUAGAGGAUACUGGAAUUCCCGGUGUAGCGGUGAAAUGCGUAGAUAUCGGGAGGAAUACCUAUGGCGAAAGCAGGUAUCUGGGCCAUCACUGACGCUGAGCUGCGAAAGCUAGGGGAGCAAACAGG